UGUGUUUGUGAAUUCAUCUCUUGAUUGCAAAAAUGUUGUCAUUGUUCUCAUUCUCACUCUCACGAAUCAUGUUAAGGUACUCUCCUUAUUCUGUUCCCCACUCCGCUUUCCGUCUUUGCUUGCCUUCAACUUCAUCCCUACACUCUCACUCUCACUCUCAGUCCCACUCACAUGAUAAAGAUGUUGAUUUCUUCACUCGCUUGCUCUCUAUCUCUAUGCGUCCUUCUCCAUCCAUCAACUCCUUUAACAUGAUUUUGGGGGCUUUUGCCAAGAGAAACGAUUUCCCCACCGCCAUUCUCCUUUUUCAGAAAUUGCAAGCCAGGGGAAUCGCUCCCGACUUGUUUACUUUGAACAUCUUAAUCAAUUGUUGUUCCAGCAUGGGUCGUAUGAAGCUUGCUUUCUCUGGGUUGGCCAAGAUUCUCACGAUGGGUUAUCAACCUGAUACGGUAACAUUGACAACAAUCCUGAGAGGUCUCUGUCUCUGUGGUAAUGUUGAGAAAGCACUACACUUUCAUGAUAGAGUCCUGGCUUUAGGAUUUCAGUUUAAUAAAGUUACUUAUGGGACCUUGAUUAAGGUACUCUGUAACACCGGAUACAGAUCAGCUGCUAUUCAAGUGUUGAGAAAGACCCUACCAUUGCUUGGGAUUAUUCCUAAUGUCAUCAUGUACAGCGCAAUUAUUGAUAGCCUGUGCACGGAAAACCUUGUAGCUGAUGCUUUUUAUUUAUUCUCUGAAAUGCUUGCUGAGGGAAUUACUCCCGAUGUUCAAAGUUACAAUAUCAUGAUUAAUGGCUUCUGCAAAAGUAAAAUGCUAGAUGAAGCCUUGAUUCUCUUUGAAGAAAUGCUUCGUAAGUAUUUGGUUCCAAACACGGUAACUUACACCACUCUUAUUGAUAGCUUGUGCAAAUCAAAGAGAAUCUCUUGUGCUUUGGAGCUUUUAGUCAAGAUGCAUGAUAGAGGUCAACCCGCUAAUGUAGUCACUUACAAUUCCUUGUUGAAUGGGAUGUUCAAAAACCAACAACUUGACAAGGCACUUAAAUUAUUCUCUCAAAUGAAAGAGAGUGGCAUUGAUCUAAAUAUAGGCACUUACAGUAUACUUAUUGAUGGCCUAUGUAAAGGUGGAAGACUUUCAGAUGCAAGAGCGAUUUUCCAAGAUCUUUCUGCUAAAGGCUGUCCUCCAAAUGUGAGGACAUACAAUAUUAUGAUCAAUGGACUCUGCAAAGAGGGCCUGUUUAAAGAAGCAUUGACCCUGCUGUUGGAAAUGGAACACAAUGGUUGCUUACCAAAUGCUGUGACUUUUCUAACUCUUAUUCAUGCUUACUUUGAAAAAGAUGAGAAUGACAUGGCGGGAAAACUUCUUCAAGAAAUGAUUGCUAGAGGCUUAUUGAAUUGAUAAAAGAAGGUAAGAUACAUCAACUGAAAUUGAAAUUACAUCUCUAUUGUUGCUGAAUAUUAUCAAUUAAUUUUGCACUUUCGAUUUUUGCAAUUGCUAUCAUCCUUUUUAAUUCCACUGCUUUGUUGAUUCUUUUGAUGAUAUUCCUAGUUAUAGCUUACAGGUUUAGUGUUUAAGAUCUCUUUAUAGCAAUUGAGUGUUCUUUACUGUUAUUCUAUAAGAUGAUAUAUUUAUCAUGCUAAGCAAAACUAAAAAGAUUGAAAAUUUUGUUUUGUUGUUUGUUCUCUGCUAUUCUGCUGUGCAACUUAUCUUUCCUUAUCUUUGUAGGAACCGUGUGUAUAUAUAUAUAUAUAUCAAACCAAUUCCUGACUGUUUUAUCAUAAGCAACCAUGAACUAUUGUAUAUUUGAUUGAAUCCUCCAGGAAUUGUCAUUAAAGGAAAAUUAAGUAGGUAUCGAGGAUUUAUUCUUAGGCUUUAUGGUUUUCAUUUCCAUCUUAAAAAUAAACCCACCUUCUAAAAUGCAUGUCCCUUCUUUUCAUCAGCCUAAGCAACAUCGAGUUAAGGUUAAUAUGGUUCAGUUAUCUCAAAAUUUUUUACCAUUUUCUUAAUGAAUU